rnacentral:rRNA from 1 species
GGAAUUUUGCUCAAUGGGGGAAACCCUGAAGCAGCAACGCCGCGUGAGGGAUGAAGGCCUUCGGGUUGUAAACCUCUUUUCUCAGGGAAGAUAAUGACGGUACCUGAGGAAUAAGCCACGGCUAACUACGUGCCAGCAGCCGCGGUAAUACGUAGGUGGCAAGCGUUGUCCGGAUUUACUGGGCGUAAAGAGCGCGCAGGCGGUUGGUUAAGUCGAAUGUGAAAGCCCCCGGCUCAACUGGGGAGGGUCAUUCGAUACUGGUCAACACGAAGGCAGGAGAGGGAAGUGGAAUUCCGGGUGUAGUGGUGAAAUGCGUAGAUAUCCGGAGGAACACCAGUGGCGAAGGCGACUUCCUGGCCUGUUCUUGACGCUGAGGCGCGAAAGCUGGGAGAGC